CGGCAACAGCUCAAAUUUGAAAUCUGGCUCUUUCAGGGUCCGAGUUGUAAUUUGUAGAAGAUGCUUCGGGUGUGGCUCCGGUCUAAGUUCCUUGGAACAGGACGUCAUAGAGGGUGAGAACCCCGU
rnacentral:rRNA from 1 species